rnacentral:rRNA from 1 species
UACAGAGGUCUCAAGCGUUGUUCGGAUUCAUUGGGCGUAAAGGGUGCGUAGGCGGCCAGAUAAGUCCGGUGUAAAAGUCACAGGCUCAACCUGUGAAUGCCGCUGGAAACUGUCUGGCUUGAGUCCGGGAGGGGCGAGUGGAAUUCCUGGUGUAGCGGUGAAAUGCGCAGAUAUCAGGAGGAACACCAAUGGCGAAGGCAGCUCGCUGGAACGGUACUGACGCUGAGGCGCGAAAGCGUGGGGAGCGAACAGG